GUCUAUGGCCAUACCACCCAGAACACGCCUGAUCUCGGAAGCUAAGCAGGUUUGGGCCUGGUUAGUACUUAGAUGGGAGACCUCCUGGGAAUAACGGGUGCUGUAGGCU
rnacentral:rRNA from 1 species